GUAACACGGAGGAUGUCUCAUACGGUAAAGCGAAUGAUUAGAGGACAUUGGGGCCGAAACGACCUCAACCUAUUCUCAAACUAUAAAUGAGUGAGAUCGCCGGCUUUACCUGGUACACCGCGUGAACCGCGUGCGAAGCCGGCGACGGAACCCUAGGCGCUUAGUGGGCCAUUUUUGGUAAGCAGAACUGGCGCUGCGGGAUGAACCGAACGCCGAGUUAAGGCGCCGAAAUCGACGCGUAUUCAGAGACCAUGAAAGGCGUUGGUUGCUGAUGACAGCAGGACGGUGGCCAUGGAAGUCGGAAUCCGCUAAGGAGUGUGUAACAACUCACCUGCCGAAGCAACUAGCUCUGAAAAUGGAUGGCGCUGGAGCGUCGUGCCUAUACUCGGCCGUCGACGGCAUAGUGGGGCCAGUCGUCGCUCGCGGCGGCCGGUCCCGGCAAGCCUCGACGAGUAGGAUGGCGCGGCGGUGUGCGUCGAAGGGCAGGUCGCGAGACCGCCUGGAGCCGCCGUCGGUGCAGAUCUUGGUGGUAGUAGCAAAUACUCGAGAGGGGCCCUCGGGGGCUGCCGUGGAGAAGGGUUUCUUGUGAACAGCCGUUGUCCAAGAGUCAGUCGAUCCUAAGCCCGGGGAGAGAUCCUCGUACCACGGGCGAAGGCGUUUUCGAUCGCCCUUGGGGCGAGAGGGAAUCCGGUUCGUAUUCCGGAACCCGACGCGGAACCGCUCCCUAGUGUUCGGGGCUCUUUUGUCUCGUCUGGGUAACCAGAAUGAACUCGAAGAAGCCGCCGGGGGAUCUGGGUAGAGUUCUCUUUUCUCUGUGAGCGUUGUACGUCCCUGGAAUCCUCUAGCCGGGCGAUAGGGACGCGAGCGCGAAGAGCACCGCUCGUUGCGGCGGUGUCCGUGAUCCCCACGCGGACCUUGAAAAUUCGAGAGAGGGCCACGCGGAGUCUUCGCGUCGGUUCGUACCGAUAUCCGCAGCAGGUCUCCGAGGUGAGCAGCCUCUAGCCGCAUAGAAUAAUGUAGGUAAGGGAAGUCGGCAAAACCGAUCCGUAACUUCGGGAUAAGGAUUGGCUCUGAGGAGCGUGGCUGCCGGGUUCGGGUCGUCGUAGAAGCGUAGGCGUUUUUGGCGACACCCCGGCCGUCGCCCGUGCGCCCGGUCUUCGGAACGGGAGCCUCGAGGCGGCCGCGGGCCCGUCGCCGUCCGCCGACCGUGGAACCACCGAGCUUCGGUCGCUGGCCGCGUCGCGGCCGGCCGACCGCCUUGGUGUCGGUUCGCCGUCACCGGGCGGUCCGGCCGCCGCGCCGUCGGUCGCGUAGCCGGAUCGACAGCCAUGUAACGGUCAACUCAGAACUGGCACGGACCAGGGGAAUCCGACUGUCUAAUUAAAACAAAGCAUCGCGAUGGCCCGGGACGGGUGUUGACGCGAUGUGAUUUCUGCCCAGUGCUCUGAAUGUCAACGUGAAGAAAUUCAAGCAAG
rnacentral:ncRNA from 1 species